AGAGUUUGAUCCUGGCUCAGGACCAUCGCUGGCGGCGUGCCUAACACAUGCAAGUCGAACGAACCAUCCCUUCCGAUGAAUGGACCAGCUUGCUGGGAAAGGAAUCAAUUGGGAUGACUGAGUGGCGGACGGGUGAGUAACGCGUGGGUAACCUGCCCCAUAGAGGGGGACAACAGCUGGAAACGGCUGCUAAUACCGCAUAGCAGGAAAGAGACGCAUGUCUUUUUCUUCAAAGAUUUAUCGCUAUGGGAUGGACCCGCGUCUGAUUAGCUAGUUGGUAAGGUAACGGCCUACCAAGGCGACGAUCAGUAGCCGGCUUGAGAGAGUGGACGGCCACAUUGGGACUGAGACACGGCCCAGACUCCUACGGGAGGCAGCAGUGGGGAAUAUUGCACAAUGGGGGAAACCCUGAUGCAGCAACGCCGCGUGGGUGAAGGAGCGUUUCGGCGCGUAAAGCCCUGUCAGCGGGGAAGAAGAAAGACGGUACCCGACCAAGAAGCCCCGGCUAACUACGUGCCAGCAGCCGCGGUAAUACGUAGGGGGCGAGCGUUAUCCGGAAUUACUGGGUGUAAAGGGAGCGUAGACGGCGAGGUAAGCCUGAAGUGGAAGCCCGCGGCCCAACCGCGGAACUGCUUUGGGAACUGUUUUGCUGGAGUAUGGGAGGGGUAAGCGGAAUUCCUGGUGUAGCGGUGAAAUGCGUAGAUAUCAGGAGGAACACCGGUGGCGAAGGCGGCUUACUGGACCAUAACUGACGUUGAGGCUCGAAAGCGUGGGGAGCGAACAAGAUUAAAUACCC
rnacentral:rRNA from 1 species